AUUGAACGCUGGCGGCAGGCUUAGCACAUGCAAGUCGAGCGGGGGAAAGUACUUCGGUACUGACCUUAGCGGCGGACGGGUGAGUAAUACUUAGGAAUCUGCCUAUUAGUGGGGGACAACAUCUCGAAAGGGAUGCUAAUACCGCAUACGUCCUACGGGAGAAAGCAGGGGAUCUUUAUGACCUUGCGCUAAUAGAUGAGCCUAAGUCGGAUUAGCUAGUUGGUGGGGUAAAGGCCUACCAAGGCGACGAUCUGUAGGGGGUCUGAGAGGAUGAUCAGCCACACCGGAACUGAGACACGGUCCGGACUCCUACGGGAGGCAGCAGUGGGGAAUAUUGGACAAUGGGGGAAACCCUGAUCCAGCGACGCCGCGUGGGUGAAGAAGGCCUGCGGGUUGUAAAGCCCUUUCGGUAGGGACGAAAGCUCUUGCUCUAAUAAUGCAAGAGGUUGACUUAACCUACAUAAGAAGCACCGGCUAACUCUGUGCCAGCAGCCGCAGUAACAC
rnacentral:rRNA from 1 species